CCUGCCUCUAUCCCUGUCUUGAGACCUGCACAGUAUCACAGAUCACAGAAUCACACAGUAUCACAGAGCUGUGAUUUGAAUUCUUCAUGGCCGUAGUCAAGAACAGAGGAACACCAAAACCCAGAAAUAAGAUGGAGGAAAACCUUUCAGAAUGCUCAUUUUGGCUGUUUUAUGAAGAAGUGAUUCAGUACAGCAAGGCCAGAGGUGGUGAUUUUGGACAGGAGAAAAUGAAUGUUCAUAGGGUUGGAAAGAAGAUAAAAGAAUACAUCAUAUUCAAGAAAAAUUAGUUAGUGCAUAGAAUCAACAUAACUCGUUAGUUAGUAGAGGAGAGGACUGAAAGAAAAUGAGGAAAGUAUAACUCCCAAGUUUCUGGAUUAUAAAUCAAGUUAUGAGUCACUGAGAUUGGAAAUGUACUGGUAUCUGUAGGAAUGAACUGAAGGUGGAAAAUUCCAUUCUGGACAUGAUGAAAUGUACAGAGUCUAUGCAGACUAUUUACGCAGACAUAGGUUUUGAGAUAAAGAAUUUUCAAUCAUUUCACACCUGACCCUAAAAAUAUGGAUGCUUUCAGAAAAUCCUUGAGAAUACUGAAGUUGUAAAUAAUAUGGAAUGUAUAUGUGUAUGUGUAUUUCCAGGAAAGAGUUGGUUAAUUUUCAGCUGUUUCUCAUUGAAUUCUGUAGUCCAUCAGUGCUUUCUGAAGUCUUGCAAAGGAAUGAAAUCAUGUAAUUCUGGGGAAAUUUGA